UCUGAAGCCCACUACCCAUCCGUUCAGUUUGAGGAAGGCUGGUUUAAUGAAUAUAGUUGAUAUUCAUCUAUUCAGCCAGGCAGCUACAAAGUGUUUUGCCUUUCACGAUAGCAGGACAGCUGGCAGUUACCGGCUUGGACAUUGAAGAGGUGCGGGGCAGAAGGACUUUUCUCAGAAGUUCUUUCUAAACACGUGCCAAUUAUCUGGUUGUCCCAGAAUUACCCGAUAACCCCACCCGUAGCACUGAUCAUUGGCCAAGGGUGGGCUUGUGCACUGGAAGGUACGGUUACACAUUAUAUCACCAUGGUGACAGCCAGCGGACUCAGCUACCAUGGAAAGUAUACACGCUGGUCACAGCGUUUCAUAAGAAGCACACCAAUUAGUGAGGAAAAAAAAUCACACAGGUUGUGUAACUAUUAUGAAAUAUAGGUCUUUUUCAUGAAAAUAUAACUUUAGUGCCAUGUAUACAGCUACUGUUUCAACUUUGCUUUACAUUUUUGUUCUGUAUUGCAUAGAAAAGAAAAGACUUUUGACAUUUUAUCCAUCUUUGUAUCUCUACAAAUCUCGUCUUUUUUGUCCCUGCUGUCCUCCGUAAAACAGCGUUUCUUGACAUUCUGCACAGCAAUGAAAGCCCUGCUGUAGAUUGUUUUAGACAUUUCAUGGAGGACAGAGGAAGGGCACAAACUUGACCUGAAUAAGAGUCACUGCGGUCAUUAUCUCUGCACGUGGAGCGUGGGGAGACACAGUGGUACCUGGCAUGUGACACAGUUUGAAGUACUGAUUUUGUCCAAGCAUUGCGCUGGUCUGGUAUCUCAAGUUCUUCUUGGGGCAGGUGCCACACUCUGCAAUUCAGUGUCAAUAUCUCAGCAUGGAAAUGGAAGGCUCUUCAAGGACUUGUGAGGCGGAUAGUUCAGGACCAGGAAGUAAAAAACCCAGACCAAGACUUUGUUUCAACCAACUGGUUGAGCCACAACUAAGUCACAGUCACUCAACUGGUUGGUUGAAACAAAAUCUUGGUCUGGAUUUCUGUUUUCUGGGCCUGAUCUAUCCAGUUCUGCUGAUUACCUCCACUAUUUCCCUUUGCUCAUAAAGCCUUGAUUCAAACAGAAGGUUGUCUUGAUUCCAUACAUGAACAGGUUCCACAGAUAUAAUAAAAAAUGAACCUCAUUAACAUCCAAGGCUUAUAAUUAUGUAACAACACAAAUGUGUUUGCAUAAACGCCCAACCUCAACGAACAGAUGUGUGUUGGUAUCAUUUAUCUGUCACCAAAUUAAAUGUAUAUUUUUAUGCAAGUGUUGCUGUGCAUUUUCUUGAGCUCAGUGGUUAUGGUUAGGUGGCCGACUCUGAUGGCAAAUUAAUCAUCUCUCACUGCAA